rnacentral:misc_RNA from 1 species
AACGCACAUUGCGCCUUUUGGUAUUCCGAAGGGCAUGCCUGUUUGAGUGUUGUUAUUCUCUAUAUCUUAUGAUAUGUGUUGGUUGAAGUAUCUCGAUACUCAGCUUAAAGUGAUUGUACCACGUCUAGGUUUAUCCAUCGUGAGAAGUACAAUUGCUUGACCUCCAAGUCAAGCAAAUAAACAUAACCUCAAAUCAGGUAGGACUACGCGCUGAACUUAA